UUGGCAAGCUGGACGAUCGCCCCGAUGCGCAAGCAUCGCGGGAGGAAAGUCCGAACACUCACUCUGGCUCUGCUAGAGUUCAACUAUUCCGGGUAACACCCGGCCGCAGCAAUGCGAGGGGUGCGAACAGUGACGAUGUCCCGAGCCGCAAGGCAAAGGAAGUGAAACGGCUAAAUCCCUGUAGGGUGCAAGAGUAAACCCAAGGGUUUACAGAAUAUGUAGACUUCUUGGUGAAAAGUAACUCGCUAGAUCCCGAGAGUAAUCGAGGGACAAGAUAGAUGAUCGCCUACCCGCCUUCGCUGAAAGCUUCGGCGAGGCGAGGAAACAGAAUUCGGCUUACGAGCUUGCCAAGACA
rnacentral:RNase_P_RNA from 1 species